rnacentral:rRNA from 1 species
UACGUAGGGGGCUAGCGUUGUCCGGAUUUAUUGGGCGUAAAGGGCGCGUAGGCGGUCAGCACAAGUCAGUUGUGAAAUCUCCGGGCUUAACCCGGAAAGGUCAACUGAUACUGUGCGACUAGAGUGCGGAAGGGGCAACUGGAAUUCUCGGUGUAGCGGUGAAAUGCGUAGAUAUCGAGAGGAACACCUGCGGCGAAGGCGGGUUGCUGGGCCGACACUGACGCUGGAGGCGCGAAAGCUAGGGGAGCAAACAGG